rnacentral:rRNA from 1 species
UAUCCGGAAUUAUUGGGCGUAAAGGGCUCGUAGGCGGUUCGUCGCGUCCGGUGUGAAAGUCCAUCGCUUAACGGUGGAUCCGCGCCGGGUACGGGCGGGCUUGAGUGCGGUAGGGGAGACUGGAAUUCCCGGUGUAACGGUGGAAUGUGUAGAUAUCGGGAAGAACACCAAUGGCGAAGGCAGGUCUCUGGGCCGUCACUGACGCUGAGGAGCGAAAGCGUGGGGAGCGAACAGGAUUAGAUACCCUGGUAGUCCACGCCGUAAACGGUGGAUGCUGGAUGUGGGGACCAUUCCACGGUCUCCGUGUCGGAGCCAACGCGUUAAGCAUCCCGCCUGGGGAGUACGGCCGCAAGGCUAAAACUCAAAGAAAUUGACGGGGGCCCGCACAAGCGGCGGAGCAUGCGGAUUAAUUCGAUGCAACGCGAAGAACCUUACCUGGGCUUGACUGUUCCCGACAGCCCCA